rnacentral:tRNA from 1 species
AAGUAGUUAAUCUAAUCAAGACAACUGAUUUCGACUCAGUUAAUUAUGGUUUAAACCCAUAACUACUUU